UAUACAUUCCAAGACUGACAGCUGACCGCCAGUCUAAAUAAUAAUAAGCCUUGUUCUAUGGUCUAAAUCUAAAUAUCGGUUUCAUUUGCAAACAGAUUGUUAAAGAAUUUACAAUUUGAUAAUAUAUAUCUAGUAUAUGCACCAAAUCCUUUAAUAAUGCCUAAUCUUUUAGACACAAUAUGUUUCUUCAUCGAAACAAAUUUGGCAUAUUCACUUACUGCUUUCUCGGUUUUGGUAAUUUUACUAAUAAUAUUUUUUGGUUCUGGAGAUGCCAAUGAUGAACCAGUUAACAGGCCGGCCCAGGUUAUUGCUGCUGUGCCAAGAAGACGAGCUCCACAUAGACGUUUCAGGCCACAAGGUAAUAUUCCAGUUAUGAAUUUGCGUUUUGAUUGUAAACCAAAUAUUCAUACUCUUUGACAAAGUCAAUAAACUUUCAAUGUGUAUCUACA
rnacentral:lncRNA from 1 species